UACGGAGACUGCGAGCGUUACUCGGAUUCACUGGGCGUAAAGGGUGCGCAGGCGGCUAGAUGUGUCAGAUGUGAAAUUUUGAAGCUUAACUUCAAACCUGCGUCUGAAACUAUCUAGCUAGAGUAUUGAAGAGGUAAGCGGAAUUCCUAGUGUAGCAGUGAAAUGCGUAGAUAUUAGGAGGAACACCAAAGGCGAAGGCAGCUUACUGGACAAUAACUGACGCUCAUGCACGAAAGCGUGGGGAGCAAAAGGG
rnacentral:rRNA from 1 species